ensembl:lncRNA
UAAAACAAAUUUAAUAUAAUUUUUAAAUUAAAAAAAUCAAUCUCUCUAUUAAAGACAUGGAGUCAAGUGCUAAUACUGUCAGAGAUACCCUUUUGGCAUGAGUUUUACAUACAGUGUAAGAUUUUAUGCAUUGCUUCAACAUGUUAAGAAACCAUCUUCAUACUUAGAGUAGCGUCAAUUCCAUACAAUAUCAAAUAUCCUUUUUUAAAAAAAGUUUUAAAUAUAUUAGACUCUGAUUGCCAAAAUGCCAGUUUAUACACAAAGCUGCUAAUACCAUGUACACUUCUUACGUAUUUUUUUUUUUCACAUAAAAUACAUGUCAUCAAGUUUUAUUUGUACAUCAUUUACUGCAGAUCGCUGGAAUCACGCGUUAUUGCAGAGGGCUUGCUGUCAUCUGUGGCUACCCCGGACAUGCAGCAGCACCAGGGCCACCGACUCUCCCACAGCCUGUUCGCACGCUGCAGUCUCAAGGCUGAAGGCGCAGAGCUGACAGUGCCGCAGAGCUGACAGUGCUGAGGCUGCAUCUGCACCAGUUAAAAACCCGUAUAUGUGUCCCGGCUGCGGGUGGAGAUAAUUGCAUUGGUGUAGGGUUGGGAACAGGUGUCUUGAGCGAAGUCUCCAACCACUGAAACUGCUUCCGCAGUUGAAAUACAGCAAAAUAUUCCAGGUCAUAACUGUGCUGCAAGUGCUGCCUGAAGAACGCAGCGAUACUCGAGCUGAGGGGGAGGAACUGGGAAGUCCAUUACCAGUUUGGCUAACAUGAGAAGAGCAGAAUAAAGCUAAGAACAAGUAGGGACCACAAGUUCUGUGGUACAGCCACAGGCAAACCAAAACAAACAAUGUACAUCUUAGCUGUGUUCUGUAGUAAGAGGGGAGACUGCUGCUACAAGCGCAUUCUGGAUUCUGCCUGCAGAGAACUGCUAUAACAAAGUAGGUCAAUGUGAUUUGUUGAAUUAGAAUGAAGACCCUGUGCAUUUCAUUUCUGUGUAUUGAGGAAGAGAGAGGAGGUGAUCAUGAAAGAAACUGAAAAAGCAAAUAAAAACUUCAAAAUCUGGUAUGCUCUGAACUGUUACCUGCAAAACAGUCUCCUCUACAGUCACCACAAACCAAACCAAACCUUGGCAACUUCCAGUCACCAAGUCACCUUUAGCAAGUAUGAUAAGGCACAGAAAUAUCCCGACGUAGGGAGAACCCCUUCCAGCAGAUGGACACCAGUUCAUCUAUGGCUCACUGGAGACCAGUGCUAUUGCCUUCUCGAUUAAGGUAUUCCUACUUCAUGGUAUUGCUGAUGUAAUUUCAGCAGAGAAAAUUUGGGUAAACAGAGCUCCGACAUUAAAGCAAAAGGACACAGAACAGAAGUUGUAAUGCCAUUUGGGAGCUUGCAACUGCUUUCAACACCAUGAACCAAGACCCCACCCAAUAAGCUAGAGAACUCGCCACCUCCACUGAGUAUUGCAGCACUUAUUCAUUAUUGCUAUUGCCCUGCAAUGCUCUUCUCCUUCCCUACCAGGCGUUCCUCAUCCACGUGGUUCUUCAACCACUAUCUUCAAGAUAGUACAGAAUCGCAUCAUCUAGAGCCAGUCCUUCCCAAAAUUGGGAGGGUUUGAUGAUUCUGGAGCACCACGGAAAUGAGACCAAGUGGGCUAAAAUCACAUCACUUGGUACGUGAAAUACAGAGCCAGGUCUGACGACAAACAGACCCCAACCAUGGUACUUCAGCCCUUAUUUAACAUUUUGGGAUUGGUUGAACUCAAUAAAGUAGAAAAACUAUUUUGAGAGACACCUUUUAUUUUCCAUCUAAACAAAGUCUUUCAACAUGGAAAUAAAGCUGCUGUCAUCAACCAGUGAGCCUGCUAGAAACAGUGUGACUCCAGCAUACAUGAUUUUGCAAGAAGGGUUAUUCUCAUAAUGCAGCUCUGCCUACAAUUGACCCAGC